AAUACUCAACAAAAAAGCAUACGGUGGAUGCCUUGGUCAAAAGUACCGAUGAAGGACGUAUUAAGCAACGAUAUUCUUUGGGGAGCUGCUAAAAAGCUUUGAUCCAGAGGUUUCCGAAUGGGACAACCCAAUCUUUAAGAUUACUUCAACGCCAAUACAUAACGUUAAGGAGGGUACGCGCUGAACUGAAACAUCUAAUUAAGCGCAGGAAAAUAAAUCAAUCGAGAUUUCCCCAGUAGCGGCGAGCGAAAAGGAAACAGCCUAAACUCAAGGAGCAAUCCUUGGGGGUAGUGGGGUCUACGAUAUAGCAUCAGUUUUAGAUAGUCAAAAUACCUGGAAAGGUGUGUCAAAGAAGGUGAUAACCCUGUAGACGAAAUUUGAAACUGGCUUAGUAGAUACCCGAGUAACUCAGGACACGUGAAAUCCUGGGCGAAUCUGGGGCGACCGCGCUCUAAGGCUAAAUAUACUUUUGGACCGAUAGUGAACUAGUACCGUGAGGGAAAGGUGAAAAGAAGAGCGAAACGCUCAGUGAAAUAGUACCUGAAACCGU
rnacentral:rRNA from 1 species